rnacentral:rRNA from 1 species
UACGUAGGGUGCAAGCGUUGUCCGGAAUCACUGGGCGUAAAGGGCGCGUAGGCGGCUCAUGAAGGCUGUGGUGAAAGUCCGGGGCUCAACCUCGGAUCGGCCGUGGCGACUCGUGGGCUGGAGCACUGUAGAGGCGGGUGGAAUUCCGGGUGUAGCGGUGGAAUGCGUAGAGAUCCGGAAGAACACCAGUGGCGAAGGCAGCUCGCUGGGACGUGACUGACGCUGAGACGCGAAAGCGUGGGGAGCAAACAGG